GGCGCCUGCUCGGAACCAACUUCCGGGUCACGUUUUGCAAACUCUAGUCCCAAUUGGGUAAGGUCUCUCCCCGACCUACGAGAAGGGAAGAUUUGCUUGCGAAGGCGGGAUGAGCGAGAGGCCAAUUGGAGAGGAGAGGAUAGCCAGUACCAAAACUGGACCUGCACUUCCCAUUGGAGCAUAGUAUAGAGCCAUGGAUGAAAGAAUAACAGGAUUCCAAAGAAAUGAAAACGUUACUUGGCUCCAAGGUUUUGAGAUCAGGAGAGAAAUGAAGACUCUUCAAAGUACAAAACAACUUUGGACUCUGCAUCCCUUCAUUGUUAUCAUAGAGGGAAAUGCUCUACAUGGUUCCUUUUUACAAAAAAAAACACUAUCCACAUAUAGUGGUAAAAUAAAAAAUUGGUGGGGAAAACUUCCAGACUUAGCAAAGCUUAUAGGAACUUAUCAGAACUCCUUUACAGGAAGGGAAACCUAAGAACUCCAACCUGGCAGAACUUCACAAACUCAAACCCCAAGAAAAAGAGUACAAGAGAGAGACUCACCAAUGUUUUCUGCGUGGAAAAUACCUCUUAAGAUUACUUACUGAGCACCAGUGAGUUUAUUCAGGAGAGGAACCUCACAAGUGCCCUGGCUGUGGGAAAAGCUUCCUUACUUCAGACCUUUAUAGACACGAACAUCUCCCCACAGGUGAGAUGUGCUACACUUGAUGGAAAGAAGUUCGGCAGUGCGUUUUAAGAACUUUGAACUGAAAAAAAAAAAAGAACUUUGAACUGUUUCUUCCCUUUGAUCAAGUAGUUCUAAUUGAGAAACUAUUCUUAGCGGGGAAGAGGGGGUAAAAGCAAACAGAGAGAACUUCCCAUGGUUCUCUGCUACCCUAAUAAUGAAGAUAUUAUAAUUAAUGUUAAAUAUUAUUAACUUUAAUCUUAUAAGACUGGAAAGGUCUUUAUGGCAUAGGCCUUGAACUGUGGCAAUAUGUGCUACCUUAACUUCUGCCUCCACCACAAGUUAGAAUCACUUGUGUCUGUGCUGCCAUGAUGCUUUAUUCGGCCUCAUUUUUAGCACUUAAAUCAGUUCAUUUUAGCUGGCAAGUUUAGCAGGUUUAGUUGUAAGUAUAUUACAACCUGUAUCCUUUCCUACAUGCAUCCUCUCUUGAUGUGGGCACCCAGUGUCCACAAAUGGCAUAUCACAUAUGACUGGAUUUUUACAAAGUAAAGAACGUUAUUCAUCUCUUCGUUCCUUAAAAUGCCCUGUCUAUACCAAACAUUAAUAAAUGUUUGUAGCACUGAAUCAAGAAAGAUGUGAAGUAGCUCUUGGAAACCAAGAAUUUAAUUAGAACAUUAUGUGGAUAUGGAUAAUUAUGCUUCUGAGCAUUUUAAAAAGAUAAGGGCAUACAUUAAUACCUGCUUCAUAAGUACUUUAAAGACCAAAUAAAAUACUGUAUGAAGGCUAUAAACAUAAUAAGCUUUUAAAAAUAUUGCAUUUUCAUUUUUAGAUAGUCUUGCUCUAUCUCCCAGGCUAGAGUACAGUGGCAUCAUCGUAGCUCACUGCAACCUCAAACUCCUGGCUCAAGCUAUCCUCCUGCCUCUGCCUCCCAGGUAGCUACUACAUGAGAUGUGCACCGCUAUGCUGGCCUAAUCUUUCCAUUAUUUGUAGAAAUGGGGUUUCACUCUUGCUCAGGCUGAUAUCAAACUCCUGGCCUCAAGUGAUCCUCCCACCUCAGCCUCCCAAAGUGCUAAGAUUACAGGCGUGAGCCAUUGCACCUGGCCAUAUGUUUUAUUUUUAUUCCUUAUUAUUUAUGAUAGAAAGCACUUAAGAUAUGAAUUUAAGUGUAGCUUUAGUUAUAUCCCAUAAUUUUUUUCCAGAGGAUGAACACAACUUAUACCAUGAUUUUUUUUGAGACAGAGUCUCACACCGUCACUCUAGGUAGAGUACCAUGGCAUCAGAGCUCACAGCAACCUCAAACUCUUGAGAAGUGAUCCUUUUGCUUCAGCCUCCAGAGUAGCUGAGACUACAGGUGCCCAUCACAAUGUCUGCCUAGUUUUUCCAUUUUUAGUAGAGUCAGGGUCUUGCUCUGGAUCAGGCUGGUCUCAAACUUCUGAGCUCAGGCAGUCCACCCACCUCAAUGUCCCA